AAUGAACGCUGGCGGCGCGCCUAAUACAUGCAAGUCGAACGGGGGAUCACAGGGUUAGCAAUAGCUCCGUGGUUCUAGUGGCGCACGGGUGAGUAACACGUGGGUAACCUGCCCUUGAGACUGGGAUACCCCCUCGAAAGGGGGGCGUAAUACCGGAUACGUUCCUCGGAUCGAAAGGUCUGAGGAGGAAAGGUGGCGAAAGCUGCCGCUCUUGGAGGGGCUCGCGGCCUAUCAGCUAGUUGGCGGGGUAACGGCCCACCAAGGCUGCGAUCGGUAGCUGGUCUGAGAGGAUGAUCAGCCACACUGGGACUGAGACACGGCCCAGACUCCUAC
rnacentral:rRNA from 1 species